CGCGAAUCGCCCUUCGGGGUGCACCAGGCGCGAAAACUUUACAAUGCUGGAAACAGCGAUAGGGGGACCUUGAGUGCCAGGAUACAAUCUUGGCUGUCGUCGUGCCUAAAAAGCACGGCAUAGCAAGGGCCGGGCAAGACCGGUGCCAGCCGCCGCGGUAACACCGGCGGCUCGAGUGGUAACCGCUAUUAUUGGGUCUAAAGGGUCUGUAGCCGGCUGGAUAAGUCUCUUGGGAAAUCCGACAGCUUAACUGUCGGGCUGUCAGGAGAUACUGUCCGGCUCGAGACCGGGAGAGGUGAGAGGUACUUCAUGGGUAGGGGUGAAAUCUUGUAAUCCUUGAAGGACCACCAGUGGCGAAGGCGUCUCACCAGAACGGAUCUGACGGCAAGGGACGAAAGCUAGGGGCACGAACCGGAUUAGAUACCCGGGUAGUCCUAGCCGUAAACGAUACUCGCUAGGUGUCGGCCACGGUACGACCGUGGUCGGUGCCGUAGGGAAGCCGUGAAGCGAGCCACCUGGGAAGUACGGCCGCAAGGCUGAAACUUAAAGGAAUUGGCGGGGGAGCAC
rnacentral:rRNA from 1 species